rnacentral:rRNA from 1 species
GACGAACGCUGGCGGCGUGCUUAACACAUGCAAGUCGAACGGUGAUGCUCCAGCUUGCUGGAGUGGAUCAGUGGCGAACGGGUGAGUAACACGUGAGCAACCUGCCCCAGACUCUGGAAUAAGCGCUGGAAACGGCGUCUAAUACUGGAUACGAAACUGGCCCGCAUGGGCAUGGUUUGGAAAGUUUUUCGGUUUGGGAUGGGCUCGCGGCCUAUCAGCUUGUUGGUGAGGUAAUGGCUCACCAAGGCGACGACGGGUAGCCGGCCUGAGAGGGCGACCGGCCACACUGGGACUGAGACACGGCCCAGACUCCUACGGGAGGCAGCAGUGGGGAAUAUUGCACAAUGGGCGAAAGCCUGAUGCAGCGACGCCGCGUGAGGGAUGACGGCCUUCGGGUUGUAAACCUCUUUCAGCAGGGAAGAAGCGACAGUGACGGUACCUGCAGAAGAAGCACCGGCUAACUACGUG